rnacentral:rRNA from 1 species
CCCUAGUAACGGCGAGUGAAGCGGGAACAGCUCAAAUUUGAAAUCUGGCCCUUGGGUCCGAGUUGUAAUUUGCAGAGGAUGCUUUUGGUGCGGUGCCUUCCGAGUUCCCUGGAACGGGACGCCUUAGAGGGUGAGAGCCCCGUACGGUUGGACACCAAGCCUAUGUAAAGCUCCUUCGACGAGUCGAGUAGUUUGGGAAUGCUGCUCAAAAUGGGAGGUAUAUUUCUUCUAAAGCUAAAUAUUGGCCAGAGACCGAUAGCGCACAAGUAGAGUGAUCGAAAGAUGAAAAGCACUUUGAAAAGAGGGUUAAAUAGCACGUGAAAUUGUUGAAAGGGAAGGAUUUAUGACCAGACUUUUUCUAGGGGGAUCGUCCGGUGUUCUCACCGGUGCACUUCCCCUAGUUGAGGCCAGCAUCGGUUUCUGUCGGGGGAUAAAAGCUUCAGGAAUGUGGCUCCCUCCGGGGAGUGUUAUAGCCUGUUGCAUAAUACCCUGACGGGGACCGAGGUUCGCGCAUUGCAAGGAUGCUGGCGUAAUGGUUAUUAAUCACCCGUCUUGAAACACGGACCAAGGAGUCGAACAUUUGUGCGAGUGUUUGGGUGUUAAACCCUCACGCGUAAUGAAAGUGAACGGAGGUGAGAGCCUUUCGGGGUGCAUCAUCGACCGAUCCUGAUGUCUUCGGAUGGAUUUGAGUAAGAGCAUUAAUGUUCGGACCCGAAAGAUGGUGAACUAUGCGUGGAUAGGGUGAAGCCAGAGGAAACUCUGGUGGAGGCUCGCAGCGGUUCUGACGUGCAAAUCGAUCGUCAAAUCUGCGCAUGGGGGCGAAAGACUAAUCGAACCAU